UUUUGCGUUCAUUUUCAAAUUCGCCGUGCAUAUAUUUUUGUGCAUGGCGCUUGAGAGGGCAUCACGUGACUAAAAACGACCAACCAACGACCUCGCUUCGGCCAUCUUGGCAUCUUCAUCUUGGCCACGGAUCGUUGUUUAGUUGUUUGUAUUAUUUGCACUAUAUAUUAUUUAUCUAUGUAUUAUUUGUGCUUUUUAAGAAUAUUUUUUUAAUUCGGAUACUUUUAUAAUAGCUUUAAUAGUAUUAUUAACAUAGUGAAUAAAAUGGUGUCCUGUUUUUAACGCAGUUGGAGUAGCAGAAACAAAUGUAGAUAAAAAAAUCUGCAGGAAUAACGUUUCAAUUAUGACAGAAGCUCCAAACAAAUGACUGUGAAUGAAAAGCCCUAUUAAAAGCUUUCCAGAAGAUCCUGCGAAGAAGACAUGAAGUAUAGAUCAGAUUUGUUAAUAGAGGAGUAUGUUCAAAACACUUUUUAGAAAAGAUAUUGACAGAACUUCACUUUCAUCUGUUCGUUUAAGAGACUGUGCUGUUCCAAUAGCUUAUGUCACACAGAAUCAGCUGAGAGAAGUGGUCUACAAAAAACCAGAAAGGAAACGGAAUAUGUGGCUACGAAAAGCAAAAGAAAGGUUUACAAAGCAAAUGUGACACAUUUUUUUAUAAUAUUUAGGAAUGUCAGUAAAUUACAUUAAAAAAUGUAUGUAAAGAUU
rnacentral:lncRNA from 1 species